rnacentral:rRNA from 1 species
CGGAACGUGCCCAAUCGUGGGGGAUAACGCAGCGAAAGCUGUGCUAAUACCGCAUACGAUCUACGGAUGAAAGCAGGGGACCGCAAGGCCUUGCGCGAAUGGAGCGGCCGAUGGCAGAUUAGGUAGUUGGUGGGGUAAAGGCUCACCAAGCCUGCGAUCUGUAGCUGGUCUGAGAGGACGACCAGCCACACUGGGACUGAGACACGGCCCAGACUCCUACGGGAGGCAGCAGUGGGGAAUUUUGGACAAUGGGCGCAAGCCUGAUCCAGCCAUGCCGCGUGCAGGAUGAAGGCCUUCGGGUUGUAAACUGCUUUUGUACGGAACGAAAAGGCUCUUUCUAAUAAAGAGGGCUCAUGACGGUACCGUAAGAAUAAGCACCGGCUAACUACGUGCCAGCAGCCGCGGUAAUACGUAGGGUGCAAGCGUUAAUCGGAAUUACUGGGCGUAAAGCGUGCGCAGGCGGUGAUGUAAGACAGUUGUGAAAUCCCCGGGCUCAACCUGGGAACUGCAUCUGUGACUGCAUCGCUGGAGUGCGGCAGAGGGGGAUGGAAUUCCGCGU